GAGGGAAAAGGAGAUGGCAUGUCAAGGGAUGUGACAGCAGUUAAAUAAGUGGAUGUUGAAAGAAAACGGGUAGGAUUUAAAGUGGGACGUCUGUGCUUGGAGGCUUGCAAACAUUCAUGUUAACAGACUAGCUAGCGAUUGCUAACACUGGGAGUGUAGCAGCCAAAAAUCGAGUAAUUUAGGAUGCUUCU